rnacentral:misc_RNA from 1 species
AUCCUAUCCAAAAUCCACUUGUCCCAUAAGGCGACGCCAUUUCUCUGGCUAGAUUUUGCUUUUCAAUCUCAUGGAUGACAUCCACAUUCUCUUCAAGCAGUCCUCAAGAUUCAAAGAUACUGUUAUUCUCAAACACCAUUUCCAAUUAUUCCCAUUUGAUCAAAAUUAUUUUAACCCUGCAUUGCAAAAACUGUAGCAUUCUUGAUAUCUUUAUCAUGAUGUUGAUGGCGGGAUGAUUGGGACAACAGUCCUUCACCAAACCCAUUUUCUGUUACCACAGGAAAGCCCAGAUGUUAAUCUGAGGUUGAAGGAGCAAGAAUGCUUAACCCUUUUGAGGAGAUGCAUGCACAUGGAAGAAUUCAGGCAAGCUCAUGCCCAAAUCCUCAAGUGGGGAUUCUUUUCCAACUCUUUCUGUGCAAGCAAUCUACUGGCUACUUGUGCUCUCCCAGAUUGGGGCAGCAUGGACUAUGCAUCUUCAAUUUUUCAACAAAUUGAGGAACCAGGUACUUUUGAAUUCAAUACCAUGAUUAAAGGAUAUGCUAAGGAUUUUAAUAUGGAGAAUUCUUUGUUUGUUUAUUGUGAGAUGCUUGAGAAGGGAGUUCACUCAGAUAAUUUUACCUUUCCCUCUCUUCUCAAGGCAUGUGCCUGGUUGAAGGCAAUAAAGGAAGGUAUGCAAAUUCAUGGGCAUAUUUUUAAGAUUGGACUUGAGAGCGAUUUGUAUGUCCAGAAUAGCUUGAUUAACAUGUAUGGAAAGUGUGGGAAGAUACAACUUUCGUCUGCUGUUUUUGAGCAAGUGGAUCUAAAGGAUGUUGCUUCUUGGAGUGCUAUUAUUGCAGUUCACACUAGUUUUGGCAUGUGGUGUGAGUCCUUAAAGCUUUUUAAGGAGAUGGGUCAUGACAGAUCUUGUAGGCCAGAAGAGAGCUUAUAUGUGAGUAUGCUAUCUGCUUGUAGUCAUUUGGGUGCCCUUGAUUUUGGGAGGUGCUUGCAUGGAAUAUUGCUAAGGAACAUUAGUGAACUCAAUUUAACAGUGCAAACUUCUUUGACUGACAUGUAUAUCAACUGUGGAUGUAUAGAAAAAGGGUUGUGCCUCUUCCAAAGAAUGAUAAAAAAGAACAAAUUUUCCUAUAGUGUGAUGAUUUCAGGACUAGCAAUGCACGGGUGCAGUAAGGAGGCUCUAGAGUUUUUCUCUGAAAUGCUUGAGGAAGGAUUGGAGCCCGAUGAUGUUAUCUAUGUGGGUGUGUUGAGUGCUUGUAGUCGUGCUGGCCUUGUUGAGGAAGGUCUGCAGUGUUUCAAUAGAAUGAAGUUUGAGCAUGGAAUAGAACCAACAAUUCAGCAUUAUUGCUGCAUUGUAGAUCUUAUGGGCAGAGCUGGAAUGCUCAAUGAGGCCUUAGAAUUUAUCAGAACCAUGCCUAUCGAUCCAAAUGAUAUCGUGUGGAGAAGCCUUCUUAGUGCUUGCAAAGCUCAUCAUAACUUAAAAAUUGGUGAGAUUGCAACUAAGAGCUUAGUACCAUUGAUUUUGCAUAAUCCGAGUGACUUGCUGAUUUUAUCUCAUAUGUAUGCAAGAGCUAAAAAAUGGGAAGAUUCAGCUAUGGUUCGAACAGAAUUGGCUUGCCAGCACUUACAUCAAACACCUGGAUUUAGUUUAGUUGAGGUGAAGAGGAAAAUUUAUAGGUUUGUUUCACAGGACAUGUCACACCCUGAAAGCGAAGACAUUUACGAGAUGAUUCAUCAGAUGGAAUGGCAGUUGAAGUUUGAAGGCUAUUCUCCAGAUACAUCACAAAUAUUGCUAGAUGUUGAUGAAGAAGAGAAGAGGCAGAGAUUGAAAGCUCAUAGUCAAAAGUUAGCUAUUGCUUUUGCAUUGAUACAUGCAUCUCAGGGGAUUCCCAUUAGAAUUACUAGGAACCUGAGGAUGUGUAAUGACUGCCACACAUACACCAAGUCAAUUUCCAAGAUUUAUACAAGGGAAAUUAUUGUAAGAGAUAGGAAUUAUUUCCACCAUUUCAAAGAUGGAGCAUGCUCUUGCAGAGACUAUUGGUAAACUGAUAAGUCUUCUUAUUUGAAGGGGGAAAUUUCAAUUGAAUAUGCCCUCAAAUAGCUGCUGAUAAUUGAGAUGGACUGGCCUUGUGACCUGCAACUUUUGAUGUUUUCUUCAACCUAACCUUUUGCUCAACUAAUAAUGAUUAAUUAGUUAUUCAUUUAAUUAAUGAGUACUUACACAACAUUUAGACUUUUCUGUGCUGCAUAUGCAUUGUCUAACUUAAAAUAAUAAUAA